GGCUCAGAACGAACGCUGGCAGCGUGGAUUAGGCAUGCAAGUCGAACGGGAAGCCUUGAUCUCAAUCUUCGGAGAGAAAUCAAGGUGGAGAGUGGCGAAAGGGUGAGUAACGCGUGAGCAAUCUGCCCUUAAGUUCGGGACAACUUCGCGAAAGUGGAGCUAAUACCGGAUGUGGUACCCCAACGCAUGUUGGGAUUACUAAAGGUGGGGAUCCUUCGGGACCUGCCGCUUAGGGAGGAGCUCGCGUCCCAUCAGCUUGUUGGUAGGGUAAUGGCCUACCAAGGCAUACGGGUAGCCGGCCUGAGAGGGUGAUCGGCCACACUGGGACUGAGACACUGCCCAGACUCCUACGGGAGGCUGCAGUCGAGGAUCAUUCGCAAUGCGCGAAAGCGUGACGAUGCGACGCUGCGUGGAGGAUGACGGCCUUCGGGUUGUAAACUCCUGUCAUAAGGGAAAAGACACCGGCGGGUUAAUAACCCAUCGGUUCGAUGGUACCUUAAGAGGAAGCCACGGCUAACUCUGUGCCAGCAGCCGCGGUAAUACAGAGUGGCGAGCGUUGUUCGGAUUUACUGGGCGUAAAGGGUGCGUAGGUGGCACUGUAUGUCGGAUGUGAAAGCCUGGGGCUCAACUCCAGAAUUGCAUUCGAAACUGCAGAGCUAGAGUACAGGAUGGGAGAGCGGAAUUCUUGGUGUAGCGGUGAAAUGCGUUGAUAUCAAGAAGAACACCGGUGGCGAAGGCGGCUCUCUGGAAUGUUACUGACACUGAGGCACGAAAGCUGGGGGAGCAAACAGGAUUAGAUACCCUGGUAGUCCCAGCCGUAAACGGUGUGAACUUGGUGUAGGGGGUAUUGACCCCCCCUGUGCCGGAGCUAACGCGUUAAGUUCACCGCCUGGGGAGUACGGCCGCAAGGUUAAAACUCAAAGAAAUUGACGGGGGCCCGCACAAGCGGAGGAGCAUGUGGCUUAAUUCGAUGCAACGCGAAGAACCUUACCUGGGUUUGACAUCCGAGGGGCUUGCCCCUAAUACGUGAAAGCGUACUAACGAGACAGGUGCUGCAUGGCUGUCGUCAGUUCGUGCCGUGAGGUGUUGGGUUAAGUCCCGCAACGAACGCAACCCUUGUGUUUAGUUGCCACCCCCGAGUAAUCGGGGCGCACUCUAGACAGACUGCCCGUACAAGCGGGAGGAAGGUGGGGAUGACGUCAAGUCCGUAUGGCCCUUACAUCCAGGGCUGCACACGUGCUACAAUGGCCGGUACAGAGGGCCGCAAUACCGCGAGGUGGAGCAAAUCCCUAAAAGCCGGCCCCAGUUCGGAUUGGAGUCUGCAACUCGACUCCAUGAAGUCGGAUUCGCUAGUAACGGCGUAUCAGCUACGACGCCGUGAAUACGUUCCCGGGCCUUGUACACACCGCCCGUCACAUCAUGGAAGUUGUCUGCACCCGAAGUCAUUGAGCCAACCAUUUACUUGGAGGCAGGUGCCUAAGGUGUGGGUAAUAACUGGGAUGAAGUCGGAACAAGGUA
rnacentral:rRNA from 1 species